rnacentral:rRNA from 1 species
GAUGAACGCUAGCGGCAGGCUUAACACAUGCAAGUCGAGGGGUAACAUUGUGCUUGCACAGAUGACGACCGGCGCACGGGUGCGUAACGCGUAUAGAACUUACCUUUUACAGGGGGAUAGCCUUUAGAAAUGAAGAUUAAUAUCCUAUAGUAUUGAGAAUUGGCAUCAAUUUUUAAUUAAAGAUUUAUCGGUAAAAGAUGGCUAUGCGUCCUAUUAGCUAGAUGGUAAGGUAACGGCUUACCAUGGCAACGAUAGGUAGGGGCCCUGAGAGGGGGAUCCCCCACACUGGUACUGAGACACGGACCAGACUCCUACGGGAGGCAGCAGUGAGGAAUAUUGGGCAAUGGAGGCAACUCUGACCCAGCCAUGCCGCGUGCAGGAAGACUGCCCUAUGGGUUGUAAACUGCUUUUAUACAGGAAGAAACACUGCUACGUGUAGCAGCUUGACGGUACUGUAAGAAUAAGGACCGGCUAACUCCGUGCC